GAUUAUAUAUGGCUCCGAUUGCACAACUUCUUCACUCCAGCCCUGGACCAGACACAGAAGACAACGACGGUCAUCUCCAAAACGGUAGCUGCUGUUUCUUCAACAAGCUGCAAGAACAAUGGCAAGCUGGUGCAACUCUCCCAAGGUGACCCUCUACGAGAAACAAUGUUUUACCGGUAGAUGUCUGCAAGUCUUCGAGGAUCGCCCUAAUUUGGGAGGGUUUGACAACUCGGUUUCCUCGGCCAUUGUACACGAGGGAGAUUGGGGCCUUUACAGUGAGAUCAAAUAUUCCGGGAAGCGGAUCAUAAUAUCUGAGGGACAGAGCUACCCUUCUCUUCCUGGUUUGAACAACGCUGCAUCCUCCAUCGCUAAACUUUAAGAUGAAGACAGCACAAAGCAGCAGCUCUUUCAUAGAUGGAAGACUCGUGGAUAUAACAACUUGUUUACUAUUCUCCUAAGCACCUACACUCGUAGUGAGCCAGUCCAUCAAUGCUGUAUGUAAUAAAGUCCCUUUAUCUCUGACACGUGUAUCCCCUUGUAGCCAGUUCUGUUGAAACAAGUACACCUGGAAGGCAAAAGCAAAUAUUAUAUUGUUAAAUUGGAAGAAUUGUUCCAAAAAUAUCCUUUGAUACUUCAUGCUUCAAAACUGCACGCCAAGUAGGUAUUUUAAUAGGAGCGGCGACGCAGAUGUCUAAAAAACAUGGACUGUUAUAGUAACUUUGACCUUUUAUUGAUAAUGAAACAGAAAAAUGAACAAACGUGUAAAUGCUUGGAUUUAUAGUUGCGAGAUCAGUUGUGCCAUUAAACGUCAAUAAAAGAUUUUAAAAUGUC